rnacentral:lncRNA from 12 species
UUUAAACGUAUACAGAGGCCCUGACUGAUGGUGAAACUGGGAAAGGAAACUGAAGUAGGUUAGAGGUCCAGGGCUUGCCAUGAGCAGGAAAACAAGGGAGAGCCGUAAUCAGGCAUUCUGCAAAUUUCAGCUGCUUCACUAGCUUCUCCUGUUUGUUGCUGAACCGAUUAUCCUGUUCUGCACUUGUUCCGCGGAAGAAUCCCGAGUCCCAUCUUCUGCCUCGCUCGGACCUGAUAUUUGUUCUUUAUUCUCCUAAAGCGGUUAAUGAAAAAUUCACUCCCAGAAGUGAACGACUUUUACCUAGUUUGGGGCCUGUGCUCCUGAUAGAAUAUGAGGAGGACUAGGGAGGCCUGAAACCAGAGGUGUUGACCAGCAAGCCUCACCAACAUAUGGCCAAUGGAUGAGUGCAAAAUGGCUUCCAAAAUAACACUGCACUGAAGUGGUAAGGAACGUGGGUGUACGGAGGAGACGCAAAAACACAGGUGUUUAUUACAUCUGUACUUUAACAUUUUUUUACAAGAUACCUGUAUUUCUUGUGUAUACCUAAAUAAGAUGAGGCCUGGCCAUAUUAAAAUGCUCACUGUUUUUCUAUUCUGAUA